CGCUUGCCCAACUCCAUCUAAUCUCUCUUCUCUAUCCUUCUUUGUCAUAGAGCAUUCGAGCUCUUUCACUUCUUGUUGUUCUAAAAUUAAAAUCCAAAAUUCAUCUUCUGCUAUUGUUUCUUUGUGGUUUCUAUGAUUAAUAAAGUCCCCCGACUUGGGAAAUUAAUCAAUUUCAUGGCUGUCUUCGGUGUUUAACUUUCUCAAUAGAGGAAAGGCAGUUGUUCCUCUAUUCUACCCAACAUCCAUGAUAUUUUUAAUGAGAUGCUCAGAGAUGCGGGUUUUAAUGAAGUUGUGGCCGAGGAUUGUACUGAACAAUUCAUUGGAGUUCUCCAAAAGGAGUUAGAUACUGUGGAGAAGGAAAGAGAGUCAUUUAUCCACGAGUUCUCUGAACAAGACUAUAAAGAAAUAGUCAGAGGUUGGAAGGCCAAGAUAAUCAGGAGUUCUUCUGGUGAGUAGAGGACCUCAAUCUAUUAUAUUAUAACUGUAGAUCGCAGAAAAAGGCAAGCACCUUAUGCUGGAGCAUUCUUUGGAAGAUGAGCAACGCUAAUCGUAAUGUUUUGUCUGCUCAAAUACAAAGAAGACGUUUAUGAGCUCAAAGGAAAAGCUUUAUUUGACGUUCUUCAUGAAAUUGUGUGUGUUUGUUCAGGUUCAUUAUUACUGCUUUGCUAAUUAUGUUGCUUUACGCAACCCCAAGGAAUUGUUGGGGUUACUUUGGUGAGUAAUGAGAUUGCUCUAUUUUAUGGGAUAUUUAGGUUUGUGGAAUUUGUUAUUGAUGAACUACAAUUAAAGAAAUCGGAUGAGUGGGAUAAGUCCAAAUGUGUAAGAAAUGAAAUGGAUUUUGAGUUGCACCACACGUAAUUCAAAACUGGGUGUAACAUGACUAGGUUGAUGUUUUGGGAAGUGUAACUCUUUAAAAUUAUAGUAAUGUGUAACUAAGUUGCAAGUAUUUUAUUUAAAAAUUUCGGAGGUUAAUUUGGUAAGUUUAUUGUC